UACGUAGGUGGCGAGCGUUGUCCGGAAUUACUGGGUGUAAAGGGCGUGUAGGCGGGGAUGUAAGUCAGAUGUGAAAUACCCAGGCUUAACCUGGGUGCUGCAUCUGAAACUAUGUUUCUUGAGUGUCGGAGAGGAAAGUGGAAUUCCCAGUGUAGCGGUGAAAUGCGUAGAUAUUGGGAGGAACACCAGUGGCGAAGGCGACUUUCUGGACGAUAACUGACGCUGAUGCGCGAAAGCGUGGGGAG
rnacentral:rRNA from 1 species